AGCGAACGCUGGCGGCAGGCCUAACACAUGCAAGUCGAACGAACCUUUCGGGGUUAGUGGCGGACGGGUGAGUAACACGUGGGAACGUGCCUUUAGGUUCGGAAUAACUCAGGGAAACUUGUGCUAAUACCGAAUGUGCCCUUCGGGGGAAAGAUUAAUCGCCUUUAGAGCGGCCCGCGUCUGAUUAGCUAGUUGGUUGAGGUAAUGGCUCACCAAGGCGACGAUCAGUAGCUGGUCUGAGAGGAUGAUCAGCCACAUUGGGGCUGAGACACGGCCCAAACUCCUACGGGAGGCAGCAGUGGGGAAUCUUGCGCAAUGGGCGAAAGCCUGACGCAGCCAUGCCGCGUGAAUGAUGAAGGUCUUAGGAUUGUAAAAUUCUUUCACCGGGGACGAUAAUGACGGUACCCGGAGAAGAAGCCCCGGCUAACUUCGUG
rnacentral:rRNA from 1 species